rnacentral:rRNA from 1 species
UACGGGGGGGGCAAGCGUUGUUCGGAAUUACUGGGCGUAAAGGGCUCGUAGGUGGCCAACUAAGUCAGACGUGAAAUCCCAAAGCUUAACUUUGGAACUGCGUCGGAUACUGGAUGGCUUGAAUUCGGGAGAGGGAUGCAGAAUUCCAGGUGCAGCGGUGAAAUGCGUAGAUAUCUGGAGGAAUACCGGUGGCGAAGGCGGCAUCCUGGACCGGCAUUGACGCUGAGGCGCGAAAGCUAGGGGAGCAAACGGG